rnacentral:rRNA from 1 species
UACAGAGGUCUCAAGCGUUGUUCGGAUUCAUUGGGCGUAAAGGGUGCGUAGGCGGCGCGGUAAGUCACGUGUGAAAUCUCCACGCUCAACGUGGAGGCGCCACGUGAGACUGCCCUGACUCGAGUCCGGUAGGGGAGACGUGGAAUUCCCGGUGUAGCGGUGAAAUGACGCAGAGAGUCGGGAGGAACACCCGUAGCGAAGGCGGCGCUCUGGGCCGGUACUGACGCUGAGGAGCGAAAGCGUGGGGAGCAAACAGG